GACUAGUCAACUGUGAGUGAAGGUGACAGCUGCCAUUCCAGGUGUGGUCUAUUUAAACUCCCAUGUCACUUCCCUUUUAGUGGCUUGAUGUAGAGAUAACAGCAGCACCAUCUGCAGUCCCUGAAUCGCCCUUUGUGGGAAAACCGACUUCUGAUCAGCAGCACUGGUUUGAACUUUACAGGAGCUGAAAUCAUGUUCAUUCAUGGAGUGAAAAAGGAGAUAAAGAUAUCAAAUCUACAAAUAUUGAACAAGUUUUUCACCAAUAAACCAUUACUAAAGGAUAUACACUUCAAGAAGGAGAAUAAUGACUCCAGAAAGAAAGUUUAAGAUGCAAGAAGUGGCUACGGCUAUGAUGAUUUCUGGCAAUCAAGUAUAGAAGAAUUGUUUUUAAAAAUCUAUGACUCUCUACUCUUUUGUUGGGCAGUUUGAUAUCAAUACCCAGAAUAAAUUUUGAGGAUGAAGAUGGAAACGAAUGCAUACUGGAGAAUGAGGAGAUGAAGUGUCAUGCUAUGCAGCGGAAAACAUUUGGUAAAACUGUCAUCCUUGAGAGCUUAGAAAGCACUACUUAUUCAAAAUAUUACCCUUUCCCUAUUGAAUAAAGUGGCAUUUUUUUGAUGGACUUUAGAAGGCAGGUAAAUUUCUGAGCUUUCUUCUGUUGCAUUAAUCUAUAAGCCUAUCUUUAUGCCAAUGUCUCAUUUUCUUGAUUAUCAUUACUUUUAGAAUAAAUAUUGAGUAAAUCUUUAAAUUAAGUAGUGCAAGUCUUCUAAGUUUGUUUCUUUUUCUACCUUUGGCUAUUUCAUAUGCUUUGAAUUUCAUGUAAGUUUCAGAAGUAGCUUGCUAAAUUUCACAAAAGUAGAAGCAGGCUAGGAUUUUGACUGGAUAAUAUUUAAUACAUAUAUCAACUGUGAGAGAAUUGACUUCUGAACACUAUUGAGUCUUGUAUUCCAUGAACACGGUAUAUCUCCUUAUUUUGGUAUUCUUUUAUUUCUCUCAUAAAUGUUAUGCAAAUUCUCAGUGUACAGGUCUUCUGCGUAUUUUGUUUAGUUUAUCCCUAAAUAUUAAUUUUAGGGUUUUUGUUGUAGAUUCUUGAAAAUACACAUACACAUUUAUGCCACCUCCAAUCAGAGGCAGGUUUAUUCCUUCCUUUUCCAUCUCAAAGCCAUAAUUAUUAUUUUUAAUGCCUGACUAUACUGUCCAGGUCUCCCGUUAAGUGUGGAACAGAGGUGGUGAUAAAAGGAAAGGGGAAAUAUUUUAGUCUCUUACCAUUACGAUGCUGAAUAUUGACUUUUUGUAGGUGUAUUUUUCCUAGAUGAGAAAGUUUCCCUCUAAUCCUACAUAUUUGACAGUUUCAUCGUGUAUAAUGGAUUUUGUUAUAUGCAUUUUCUGUAUUUACUAAGAUGAUGUAAGAUUAUUUUCUUUUAUCCCAUUCAUGUGACUAAUUAUAUAAAUUGCUUUUUAAUAGUUAAAACACUGUACAUUCCUGAGAUAAAUCCAAGUUGGUUGGCCACGUUAUAUAAUUUCUUCUUUACAUGUUUGAUAGAAUUCAUCAACGAAACUAACUGGGACUCAAUUUUUUAUAGUAUAAGGGUUUUUAAUUACAAAUUUAAUUUCACUGAUAGAUAUGGAAAAAUUCAUAUUUUCUGUUUCUACUUGUGCCAGUUAUAAGAAUUAUUUAUUUUAAGGAGCUUUUUUAUUUGACCUAGUUGUAAAAUUAAAUGUUGUCAGUUAACAUUGCCUUCCUGUACUUUAAAUGUUUUAGGAUAGAGACGUAGUGAUGUUUCCUCUUUCAUGAUUGAUAUUGGUUAAAUUUUAUCUCUUGUUUUUGAUGUGUAUCAGUUUUAUUAAUAUUUUCUAAAAAUGAGAUUUGAGUUUUACUUUUUCCUUAUUAUCUGUCCAUUUUUAAUUUAACUGAUAUCUACUACUUAAUCUUUCUUUUCUUCUACUAUCUUUCAUCUUAAAUUAAUUUCAUUUUCCAUUUGUUUAAGGUAGAAGUUUAGAUCAUUAAAUUUUGAAUUUUCCCUUUUAAAUGACAAAAAUUUACCAUUAAGUAUUGCUUUAACUAUAUCACACACAUGUUGUGUUUUCAUUAUUAUUCAGUUAAAAAUAUUUUCUACUUUCUUUUGUGAUUUCCUCUUGAUCAUUUUGUUAUUUAGAUGUGUGUUUUGAAUUUCUAAAUAUUUGGUGAUUUUUAAAGUAUUCUUUUGUUAUUGAUACAUAAUUUAAUUUUGUUGCAAUUAGAGAGCAUACGCUCUUCGUUUUUAGUCUUUUUUAGGGGUAAGACUUGUUUUACGGCCCAACACAUAAUUUAUCUUGGUGAAUAUUCCAUGUGCAGAUAAGUGUAUUCUGCUGUUGGUUGGUAGAGUUCUUUAAAUAUCAAUUAGGUCAAGUUGGUUAAUAGCUGUGUUCAUGUCUUCUGUACUUUACUGAUUUUCUGUCUUCUUGUUCUUCUUAUAAUUGAUAAAUUACUGGAGAAUAAGGUUAUUUACUGAUUUUCUGUCCUGCUGUUCUUGUAAUUGAUAAAUUACUAGAGAAGAGUGUUAAAAUCUCCAACUAUUAUAGUAAAAUAUCAAUUUCCUGUUAAGUACUGUCAACUUUUGCUUCAUACAUUGUAAAGCUCUGUUACUAGGUGCAUAUACAUUUUGGAUUUGAAUGUCUUCUUGAAAAGUUAAUCUUUUUAUUAUCAUAAAAUGUUCAUCCUUAUCUUAGGCAACACUCUGUGCUACAUUAUACUUUGAUAUUAAGAUACUCUCUUCAACAUUCCUAUGAUGAGUAUUUGCAUGGUACACGUUUUUAAUCUUUCUGCUUUUAACAUAUAUAUCUUCAUAUAUAAAAAAUCAUUUUUAAAGUUGCUUUCUUGCAGAUAGUAUAUUAUAAGGUCUUUUUU
rnacentral:lncRNA from 10 species